GGGGCCGUAGCUCAGCUGGGAGAGCGCCUGACUGGCAGUCAGGAGGUCGGCGGUUCGAUCCCGCUCGGCUCCA
rnacentral:tRNA from 3 species